AGCGCAUGUGUAGUGGACGAGCUGCAAGCUAGUCUUUAAAAAACGUCUUUAUCGGAUCACGUAAUAGACGCGCACGAGUCCAGCAGCAGCUCAGCUGUCAGAGAGCUGAAGCUGUUCAACAAGCCCGGAAUAACGCGGAACACACAUUAAACUCCAUAUUUCAUUUCAUUUAUCACAUCUCCUGUUAUUGAGCAAGUGAUG